rnacentral:rRNA from 1 species
CUGAACGCUGGCGGCGUGGCUAAGACAGUGCAAGUCGCACGGGCGUAGCAAUACGUCAGUGGCGAACGGGUGAGUAAUGAAUCGCUAAUGUACCCGGACUCCGGGAUAGCUAUCCGAAAGGGUAGGUAAUCACCGGAGACAUCACCGCACGGCAUCGUGUGGUGCUCAAGAGGUCCGCCGGUCUGGGAGCAGGCGAUGUCGUAUCAGCUAGUUGGUGAGGUGACGGCUCACCAAGGCGACGACGCGUAGCCGGAUCUGAGAGGUUGGCCGGCCACAUCGGGACUGAGACACUACUGCCGGACUCCUACGGGGGGCUGCAGUAACGAAUCUUCCCCAAUGCACGAAAGUGUGAGGGAUGCUGACGCCGCGUGUGGGACGAAGUCCUUCGGAUGUAAACCACUGUCAGGGGCUACCAAGUUCUGAGGAGCCUCCAGAGGAAGAGGCGGCUACUCUGUGCCAGCAGCCUGCGGUAAGACAGAGGCCUCAAGCGUUAGGCGGAAUCACUGGGCUUAAAGCGUGUGUAGGCGGAUCGUUAAGUGUCUUGUGAAAUCCCACGGCUCACCCGUGGAAACUGCUGGGCAUACUGGCGAUCUUGGGCCAACUAGGGGCAGCCGGAACAAGCGUGGAGCGGUGAAAUGCGUAGAUAUCGCUUUGGAACGCCGGAAGGUGAAAACAGGCUGCUGGGGUUUGUGCCGACGCUGAGACACGAAAGCCAGGGGAGCAAACGGGAUUAGAUACCCCGGUAGUCCUGGCCCUAAACGAUGUCCACUAGAUUACGGCGCCUUUGAAGGCGUCGUGGUCGAAGCAAAAGUGUUAAGUGGACCGCCUGGGAAGUACGGUCGCAAGGCUAAAACUCAAAGGAUUGACGGGGGCUCACACAAGCGGUGGAGCAUGUAGGUUCAAUUCGAAGCAACUCGCAGAACCUUACCUGAGGCUUGACAUGCUAGGAUUAUCCCGAGUGAAAGCCGGUAGGCCCCGCAAGGGGUACAACUAGUACAGGUUGCUGCAUGGCUGUACGUCAGCUCGUGUCGUGAGAAUGUCGGGUUAAGUCCCUUAACGAGCGAAACCUUUACCCUUAGUUACCAGCGGGUUAUGCCGGGGACUCUAAGGGGACCCGCCGGUGUCAAACCGGAGGGAAGGUGGAGAUGACGUCAAGUCCUCAUGGCCUUUAUGCCCAGGGCCACACACGUGCUACAAUGGCGUUGACAAAGCGACCCUAAAGCGCGAGCUCAUGGAAAUCGCAGAAAACAACGCCCCAGUUUCAGAUCGGAGGCUGCAACUCGCCUCCGUGAAGUUGGAAUCGCUAGUAUCGCGGAUCAGCUACGCCGCGGUGAAUGUGUUCCUGAGCCUUGUACACACCGCCCGUCAAGUCAUGGGAGCCGGGAAUGGCCGAAGUUGCCGCGACACAGCGGUACCUACGCCAGGCUCGGUGACUGGGACU